rnacentral:tRNA from 1 species
GAGGGUAUAGCUCUGUGAUAGAGUGUGUGCUUCGCAUGGAUGAGGUCCUGGGUUCCACCCCCAGUACCUCCG